UGGGGAAUUUUGGACAAUGGGCGCAAGCCUGAUCCAGCAAUGCCGCGUGUGUGAAGAAGGCCUUCGGGUUGUAAAGCACUUUUGGCAGGAAAGAAACAGUGCGUGCUAAUACCAUGCGCGAAUGACGGUGCCUGCAGAAUAAGCACCGGCUAACUACGUGCCAGCAGCCGCGGUAAUACGUAGGGCGCGAGCGUUAAUCGGAAUUACUGGGCGUAAAGCGUGCGCAGGCGGCUUUGUAAGACGGAUGUGAAAGCCCCGGGCUCAACCUGGGAAGUGCAUUCGUGACUGCAAGGCUAGAGUGUGUCAGAGGGAGGUGGAAUUGCGCGUGUAGCAGUGAAAUGCGUAGAGAUGCGGAGGAACACCGAUGGCGAAGGCAGCCUCCUGGGAUAACACUGACGCUCAGGCACGAAAGCGUGGGGAGCAAACAG
rnacentral:rRNA from 1 species